AAUCUUGUGUUUACAUUGUAAGAACUUCAUGGUCUAUGAUGAUAUAUGUGAAUAUAUCAAUCACCAACGAAGAACAUGUAAUGUCUAGUAAAAUGGGUGGAGUACCUGCCGUGUGGUUUUGACCAUGCAUCAACAAGUUUCACCAUUUGCGAAAACUGUUGUGGUCCCUUUUAACCAUCGUACCAUUUUACAUCAUAUAGUAACAUACCCAGCUUUAAACAUACAUCUGGAUUUGCCAAAGCUUUGGUCCAUAAUCAACCUCGUAUAUCUUUAGGCUUUUGAUCCUCCUAUGUCAUUUCUUCAGAUUUUCAAGGGAUUGAACCUUAGUGACUGCAUCGGUCAUGAGAUCGCCUGAAAAAAUACAUGUAUGAAACCUUAAGUUAUCUUGAUAUGCUUGAAUUUGGAAGUGAUUUAAAUUUCAGCUAACUAGUAAAAGGUCACAUUCGUUGGAUUGAACGAAUCCCACCAAUUGUGGUCAUCGUGGUUAGAAAGAAUAACUUUGUAAUCAAGAUCGACAUGUAGGGAUGCAUGAUAUGUUUUAGAGCAUGUCCAACAGAGAGUUUUCUCUUUGGAGUUUUAAAAAUACAUAUAUGUAAUGUACACACACAUAUCGGUAUUUUUAGAACUCUAAGGGGAGAGCUUCCCACUAG
rnacentral:lncRNA from 1 species